CAAUGGAGCUUCUUUUAUCAAUGCGACCUUGACCUAAUUUCACAAUAAAAUAAUAAUGGUUUUGUCAAUACUCUAGAAUACAAAAAUGGUAUAUUUUAUUAAUACUUUUAGUCUUCCAUAUAUUAUUAAACCAGCACUAGAACCAAAAUUUUCGAGAAUUUUAUCCAGCUUUUUGGUUAUUUUUUAAAGUUAUAAUAUGGUUCGAUGUACUUAGCGUUCGGAUGAUUUUUUAUUUCACUCAGUUUUUCUAAGAGACAGGUGAACUGUCUAGUAGCAUCGUUUCGACAAUUUUGUGAUCCUGGUAUUAUCACUCCAUGACUUUUAGCAGUAGCACAUUUUCUGAGGCUUAGAAAAUAUGGAUGCGAAGCUAGUUGGGUAAAGUCUAAUCUGCUCUUUUUUUGAAUUUGCUGCAUCUCCAUUGGACAAUUCUGUCUAAACCACUUCUGAUCAAAACCAAAAAGACACUUAAAAACACAAAUUUUAGAAAUUAUUGUACUCGUAAGUAUGUAUGCAUAUUUACUUGGAACGAAAAUGUUAUAAUUAGAAAACACAAAAUCGGCUUCAUGUUUGCAACUAACACAAAUUAUGGUGUUCACUUCCUUAUUAGUUUGCCUAAUUACUUUUAUCACACUUGGGACAAUGGAGAGAAUUUUAAACAGUAAAGCAAACAAAUAAUAUUAUAAAUGAAUACAAUAAAGUUGUUUAUAUUUUUACAGUUAGCAUUUAAAUGAAAAAAUUAAUUGUUUUUUUUUUAAGUUUGAAACACCCUUAUUUUUGAAUGGCUUUACCAUACAAUGCAAAUUUAUUCAAUAAUUUUUUCAGUUUUUUAUCCCUAGUAUAAUUUAUCCUACGAUUAUAAAGUGAGUGCAAGCUAGAACUAUUAGUUUUAUCGCUAGCUCUUAUAGGAUUUUAUUAUUCAUUCAUAAAAUUUUAAAACUUAUGGACCAAAUAUUUUUGGUCGUUACCCACUUUUACAGCCCAAAAACAUACUCAGGUUGAUAUUUUUGACAAUAUAAUUUUAGUGUUCACUAAUAAAAGAUUUAACAGUUUUAAUUAAAACUUUCUUAUAUAAGGCACACAUUUAGACUAGACUCAUUUGAAACCACAAAAAAUGAAUCUGUUUUUCAUUCUGUUUCUAGGUCUAGCUGCCAUUACACAGACUGCACAUGGUUAUGCUACCUGUAAAGGUGCAAUGCGCUUAUUCCUUAACGAACAGCAAGAAAAAAAUACAGUUGGUUUUUUGACUCAAUGGGAGGUUUAUCGACAAUGUGAAGUUCUCCCUAUUGAAAGGAAUCGUGUUGCUACAUUCCAUUCUGAAGUACAAUGUAAAUGUCCAAAUAAGAAUGAACAAGACAUUUAUGCACCAGACAAACCACGAGACUUGUUUUGCAAAUCUGAAAUUGCCGAAGCAAAAGCCGCCAGAAUUGAUUUUUCCGCAACAAGACUACCGCAAGAACUUGAAAAUCUUUACAAUUGUAUACAUAAGGAAAAAACCCUUGAAGCUUUGAGGAAAGCACGCACUGAAAAUAAAUAUUAUCUGUAAAGAAUUAAACAAAUAAAACCGUACAUGCCUGAUACUACUUGUUUAUCUAUAUCACCUAAUAUUCAGACCGUAAAAAUUAUUUCUUUGGUUUUGAAUUUGAUUAUUUAAGAUUUCAAAGUGUUCCAGUAAAAAAAAUAACAUAAAGUAUUCGUGGAUGACUGGUCUUUAAAACACUUGCUCUAUUAAGGUCUUUAAAACACUCUAAAAGGCGCGCGUGUUUUAAAGACCUGUUAUCCACGAAUAUUUUACGUUUAACAUGUGUCCAAAAAUAACGAAAAAUAAUUCACCCUUAACUAGGGAUUCAAAAAAUUGUAUAAUAAAAUCUAAUUUUUGAAUAAAAUAGUAUAGUUUCGGAUCCAUUCUUCAACCGAUUCUUUGUUUCAAAAGGUUUUUUACAUAAAAUUUCAAAAUAUGAAGGUGUUCGAAUUUUUUUUGUUUUAAGUUUCUAGUUUACACAUUGGAACCACCUAUUAUAGAUUAGUGAUUUAUGGGUAAUGCUUUUAAUGUUAAAUUUUAUUGUUAAUUGAUUUAGUUUUUUUAUGAUCACUGGUAAAAUCAGUUUUUAAAUUCAGUCUCUACAAAAGAGCCAACCACAGAAAAGGAAAUAGUAUUUGUAAGGUAUGAAUAUAUUCACGAGUUUCGCUGUAAUACUUACAGUUGCAUCACAAGUAAAUUGCAACUAUGAAUGCAAAAAUGCCAUCAAUAAGUAUAUUCAAAGGCGUUCUCUCAUCGACAUGGUUGGAAAAAUUGAAGAAGAGGAUAUCUUAAAACAUUGCAAUGUGUUUAACUUCGAUGAUGCUUAUAAACAAAUCCAGUCAUGUAGUUGUAUUACAACUCACCAAACCAAGGCUAAAGACAAGCCAAUACAAGUGGUAACUAAUUACAUGAUCGAUUUCGAUGAGAGUGAUAAAAUCAACUGCCAUAAAGAAUAUAAUGCAAUGCAAGUUGCGACGGACACUCGUAACUACGACCUUUUGGCAUGGGAAUAUGAACAAUUUUAUUUGUGUAAGAAGAGGUUUGCCAAGGCGAAAGAAACAAAAUAAUUCAUUAAAUAUAGCGUGUUGAAAUACAACUGCCUUAAAUAAAAAUCAAAGUAGA